UACAUGCAGUCGAGCGAACUGAUUAGAAGCUUGCUUCUAUGACGUUAGCGGCGGACGGGUGAGUAACACGUGGGCAACCUGCCUGUAAGACUGGGAUAACUUCGGGAAACCGAAGCUAAUACCGGAUAGGAUCUUCUCCUUCAUGGGAGAUGAUUGAAAGAUGGUUUCGGCUAUCACUUACAGAUGGGCCCGCGGUGCAUUAGCUAGUUGGUGAGGUAACGGCUCACCAAGGCAACGAUGCAUAGCCGACCUGAGAGGGUGAUCGGCCACACUGGGACUGAGACACGGCCCAGACUCCUACGGGAGGCAGCAGUAGGGAAUCUUCCGCAAUGGACGAAAGUCUGACGGAGCAACGCCGCGUGAGUGAUGAAGGCUUUCGGGUCGUAAAACUCUGUUGUUAGGGAAGAACAAGUACGAGAGUAACUGCUCGUACCUUGACGGUACCUAACCAGAAAGCCACGGCUAACUACGUGCCAGCAGCCGCGGUAAUACGUAGGUGGCAAGCGUUAUCCGGAAUUAUUGGGCGUAAAGCGCGCGCAGGCGGUUUCUUAAGUCUGAUGUGAAAGCCCACGGCUCAACCGUGGAGGGUCAUUGGAAACUGGGGAACUUGAGUGCAGAAGAGAAAAGCGGAAUUCCACG
rnacentral:rRNA from 2 species